GUCUACAGCCAGCCACCCUGAACGUUCCCAGUCUCGUCUGAUCUCAGAAGCUAAGCAGGGUCGGGCCUGGAUGGGAGACCGCCUAGGAAUACCAGGCGCUGUAGGAG
rnacentral:rRNA from 1 species